AUUGAACGCUGGCGGCAUGCCUUACACAUGCAAGUCGAACGGUAACGGGCCUUCGGGUGCCGACGAGUGGCGAACGGGUGAGUAAUACAUCGGAACGUGCCCGAUCGUGGGGGAUAACGAGGCGAAAGCUUUGCUAAUACCGCAUACGAUCUACGGAUGAAAGCAGGGGACCGCAAGGCCUUGCGCGGACGGAGCGGCCGAUGGCAGAUUAGGUAGUUGGUGGGAUAAAAGCUUACCAAGCCGACGAUCUGUAGCUGGUCUGAGAGGAUGAUCAGCCACACUGGGACUGAGACACGGCCCAGACUCCUACGGGAGGCAGCAGUGGGGAAUUUUGGACAAUGGGCGCAAGCCUGAUCCAGCCAUGCCGCGUGCAGGAUGAAGGCCUUCGGGUUGUAAACUGCUUUUGUACGGAACGAAAAGCCUUCUUUUAAUACAGGAGGGUCAUGACGGUACCGUACGAAUAAGCACCGGCUAACUACGUG
rnacentral:rRNA from 1 species